rnacentral:tRNA from 1 species
CGCGGAGUGGAGCAGUUGGUAGCUUGCCGGGCUCAUAACCCGGAGGUCGUGUGGUUCGAGUCCCUCCUCCGCAACCA